GUAACCGACAGCUGGAGCUUUCCGGGUGUUCAAUGCGCCGUUACUCCUAUUUUUGGGUUUUUACUGCUUUGAACAAAUCGAUUGCUUCGUCCACAAGAUAUUUCUGGAUGUACCAUUUUUCUGGAUCUACCAUUCCUCCUCCUCGCCUCUCUCUCUCUCUCUCUCAUUUCUUGAUCGACAGAUACUCAUCCUCCCCUCGCAAAAGAAGAAGAGAGAUUCAUUUAUUGAUCCGUUUGUUGGGAGAUGAUUGAUUCCGUUUCUCGAUUCAUUUGUUAUCAAGGGAUAAUUCAACCUCUCUCCCAUUUCAUUUGUUGACAGAUGAUCCAGCCUCUUGCAUUUUUCUUUCUUUUGUGAGGGAUCUUGCAUUUCAUUUGUAGAGAGACAGCAAUUCAUCCUCUCCUCCCAUUCCAUUUGUAGAAAGAUAGGACAAUCCAUCAUCCCUCGGCCAUUCCCUUUUGUCGAGAGAUAAUCCAUCCAUUACCACAUUGUCCGCAAAAUGCAUCAUGAUCAGGACAGUUACCGUCGCGACAGGGAACAAGGAACUCCUGGGCCGAUGAUGCCUCCGUCCAAGGGCGAGGAGGAGGAGGAGCCUCCUCGUAAGCCUCCGGUGUCCACAACAUGCUUCAUAUUAGGAUUUUUCGCCGCGCUAUGUUGCUGCUGCUUGGUCGACGAGCCGCUCAUGUGACACGCUUGUCUUGCGUGCCGUGCCGUGCUUUGUACAUACUGCAGGAAACAUGCUAUCAUAUCAAAAUAAGUCUGGCCCGUGAAUGCUUUGCUUUCCUUCUGAAAUUCGGAGAAUCCUCCUUGCACACAAGUGAUUGUUGGAACUAUGUAGGUCGGGACUAUUAAGCAAAUUCAAUAAUUUCUAGGUGAAACUUUAGCCCAUAUUGCUACUCGAAAUGGAGUUAGACCGGUAUAUUUUUCGACAAAUUUAUUUCUACCGCUAAGAGUUUGAGAAGAACAUACAUACACAUGCAUUUUCUUCCGCCUCGCCCCGCACACCGUGUUUUGUGAACAAAAUAAGAUGGGCUUGAGCCCUUGCCAAGUGUGUGCGUCUUCUUUUUUACGUGUGUGACAGAAGUCGAAACAUUUUGUGUGAUAGUGGAAGAUUAAUCCCCCCGCAAAAAAUAAAGAAGAUUAAUCCGAGCAGUUUCAUGGCCUGCUCCUCUCCUUUCAUCUUCUACAAUGGUUCAGUUUUGACCGCUCAAGUAUAUAAGGAGUCACUCCUACAUCCACACACAGAGAGAGAGAGGACCACUCGAACCGUACGGGAGAGAGUUGAUAACGCUUUGGGGAGUGUUCACCUGACUACUCGUUGAUUCGUCCACUUCCUCGACAUUGUCUACUUCGUCUUCAUGGCUUCAAAUGGCUCCAACGAUGCCACCGUUGUGGCCGUUAUGAUUGCUGCCAAUGUUGCUACCAAGGGUGCUUCUUCUUCAUGUGCCAC